rnacentral:lncRNA from 1 species
UGGCUUCACCCGCAGUGGACGCCUAUUUGCACCAUCAACAUUACGCAUGAAUACUAAAGCUGAGGCAGCUGCCAAGGCUAAAGGAAAACAGAUAGCCACCGAAGAGGUUACUACUAAGGAAGCUCCUCCUAAGACCGCGUUCGAGAAGGAAAUGGAUGAGUUUAUGAGGAUUAUCAAGAAAAGUGACUACAAGGUAGUCGACCAGCUAAAUCAGACACCCUCAAA